rnacentral:misc_RNA from 1 species
UAUGUGUGUGUGUGUGUAUUUUGUGAUGUGGUUUAUGUGUUUUAUUUUACUUAUGCCACUAUGAUGCUCUUUCCCUUUAAUAAUGUCCACUAUAGCCCUCACAUGGAAUCUUGAAGAUUUGAUUCCUCCAAGCGAGAAGCUCAUUUUUAGUUUCAAUUCGAAGGAAGAGCUGAAAAAGUGGCAUCUAUAUUCAGAUUCUGAGUAUGGAGGUGUGUAUAUUUUUAAUUUAAGUGUCUCUUUUGCUUGAUUAUUCAUCAAUGUAAGAAACAAACAAGAAAAGCAAGAAAAUUUUCCAUAUUAUAUGGAAUUUGAAAAUUAGUGGAAAUAUACUGUUUGAUUUUCUGUAGCUUCUCUUUAGUUACAUUUGUUUUUUAAUUAUUAUGGUCAGUUCAAUGCCAUGUAGCAGUAAAUUGCCAAGGAAAUGAUAAAUGCAAUGAAUAAAUUGUUAAGCAUAUUUUAUCCAAGAAAAGCAAAUAAUUGCUAAGCAUACGGUAAUAUUUUCCCAGAGACUAAUAUAGUGUUCAAUGUUUGGUAAUUUCUUCUAUUCAUUUAGGUUUGUCCUCAGCUUCUUUGGAGAUCACAGAUGCUGGAAAUGGACUAAAGGGAGUUUUCUCUGGAAAUCUAUCAUUGGAGGUAUCUGAGGGCUCAAAGUGGAAUAUAACUCGAAGCGGUUUCUGCGGAAUGCGAUCCAAGAAGGUGAACAGUAUUUUCAAAAACUAAUAGGUUACACCAAUCAAGAGUCACUUCGGAAAGUAUCAUUUCAUAAUUCAUGGGAUGUCAAUUUUGCUAUUACUGUUUGAAGUAAAUGCAGAAGAAAUUUGCUGAUAUUGCCGUCUACGAGAUGCCCAUUUUUCUUUACUCUGUAUCCUCUGCAGUUUGAUGGUUUUAUUGAUUUAGACGCAUAUGAUACAAUAGCUCUAAAGCUUAAAGGUGACGGAAGAUGCUACAUAUCUACUGUGAGUUUUUCAUUUGUUCACUCAUGUAAUGAAACAAAGGGAAUCGAAUGGAGCUUGUAUUCCCAUUGCUAACCUCUUAAUGGUUGCUAAAGUUUUAUACUAAACCUUCAUCUAAUUCUGAUGUUGCAGAUUUAUACAGAGAAUUGGGUAAAUUCACCAGGCCAACUGGAAGAUAAUUCAUGGCAAUCUUUUGUUUUUGUACCCGAAGACAACUGGUAUAUUGCAAAGAUUCCUCUUUCUCGAUAUUUGCCAACAUGGAGAGGAAAUGUUAUAGAUGCAAAGCUGGAAAUGAAUCAAUCUCGCAUUCUCGGCAUGUCCCUAUCUGUUAAUGCAGAAGGUGGCAUCCCAGGUACCAGGUCAGGAGCAGGUGAUUUCAAAGUUGAAAUUGAUUGGAUCAAAGCCUUAAGAACACGGUGAGUCACUGUAAACCUUUUCUGAGAAUUUUGAAAAAUGUUUAUGUGGCGUCUCUUUGUAUCUCUUUUCUCCCACUUUUUGGUAUGAUGUAUUAUUUACAUGUUAUUACACAAUAAGACGCUGAUUUCAUAAUUGUGAUGACAGUCAUGUAGAAUCUUUUGAUUUAGAUAAGAUGCUUAGUUAUUACUGGCACUCAACUUCCUGAUAUGUGUCGGAUCCUUCACGUUUAGAGUAGUGUUUUCAUUUUCUACAUUUUUCCCUCUGCUCUCUUACGAAACUUAGCUCCUACAAAAAGGGCUUAAAUUGUAGCUAUAUUCCAGCAUUUGGAUAAACAAUCUUUGGAUUACUUUGCCCAAUGCAACAUUGAGGUCUUUUUUGGGGCCCCCCCACUGCUACCAUGAAAUGCCUACAAAGGUGUUCCAACCGUGUUUGGAGCCCCAGAGUCAUUAACAAGCAGCCUCGUGUUCUUAAAUAUCCUGCCAACAUCAAAGAUUAGACUACUCUAAUCAGGUCAAGUCCUUGUCCUUACUUCUGGAAAUUUUGAUGUAUUAGUACAAUAUCUUCGAGCUAAAACGUCAUUUUCUAGCUAAAACGUCAUUUUCUAGCUAAUGUGUCGUUCAGAUGCCCUCAUCUUUUAGAUAUGUCUAAUUUUGCCUUGAUCAAAACUUCCAAAGACUACCAGUCUCUUACAUUGUUGCCCCCUUGUUUAAAUUCUAGUUCUGCCAUUAGAUUCAACGAAACUACAAACUUUUGGAGCUUUGGAAGUUUAUAUUGAAUGGCAGAGAUAUAAUGUGAAUCUAGUUGCAAUUUUUGCUGUAAAUGAUUUGGAUUAGAGCUGAUCAUUGGGCGGGCCAGGUCGAGUUAAGGCCCAGCCCACCAAUGGUUCUGUGUUUGCCCUUGUAUAAAGACAGUGUAAAUUUGUAAGAAGUAAGAAAAAUCCCAAUCAUUGCCAUGGUUGAAAAUAUUUUCCUAAGUGGGGUUUUAUCAUGUAACAGCCAGCCUGUGGUUGGACCUACAAUGACUCUUUGUUUCUUGAAACAAAAUUUUGGAAAUACAUUUGUAGGGCGACAUGAAAAGGACCUUUCAUGUUGUGCACUUAAUCAAUCAAAAGCCUUUCUUUUCUUUUUCCUGGAAGGACUUGGCUACACUUAUUUUUAUUGUUUUAUAUUUGAAAAAUGAAUAAUUGUCACGUAUUCCAAGUGUUCUGCACUAAUACAUUUAUUGAUUUAGUGCACAAUGAGACUGGCCAAGUACUUUCUUUUUUUCCGUGUGCCAGUCAAAACUACUGCGAAAUAGCUGGAUGCUACAAAGCCCACUACCAUAUUUCAAUAUUCAACCUUACAAAGGUUGAAAUGCCAAUUCUCCCAAUUGUUUUCCUUUCAUAGUUUAAAUAUUUAUGCUUUAGAACAAUGCAGGUGAAGUGCAAGUUGUGCUUAUGCUCUUUUUGAUCACAUCCAAGUGGGAAAAAAAAAAAGAUUUUGAAUGGUAACUUGCACCAAAUCCCCCCCAAAAAACAAAAAAAAUAAAUAAAGAAACCCUUGGACUGCAGUGUUAAUAUAUUUCUUGCAUGAGAGAUAUAUCUUGUGAGCCUGUACUGUUAACAUAUUUCUUUUGCAGCUAAUUUACAGCUUAAACGCUUUAAUUUGAGCUUCAGUCUGUCAAAAAAGUACAAGCUAUAUACAUGGAAAGGUCAAAAACCAAAGAAGAGAGAAAAGGAAAGCAGGAGCAAGUGCUGGGCGUUGUCUGUCAGCUGACGUUAUUGCUUUUGUUGUUGCUUAGUUAAAUCCUACUUGGAUGGAUUUGAUUUUUAAUGGUUUGUCACUAGGUGAGAAUUGGGGCCACUAGAACAAAUAGAGGGGACCCACGAACUUCUUGGUUUGGAAAAUUGAUGGCUGACGUGGACAAAUAGUUUCCAAACAGACACUUUCUCUAUCUCAAUCAUUUCUUUCUCUCUCUCACAUGGACAUACUUGUUGAAGUUGAGCUACUGGCCUGCAAUAGCUGACCAGAUGACCCCAAAAUCACUCGCGGAGAAUCUCCAGGCUCUUCAGGCUCUUGCUAUCUUAUAUUUGCUGCUGCCCUGAUUUAUAAUGCCACCGCCCUUUAUCUUUCUUUGCUUAAAACCACUUGUGGUUCACUGUGUCCAAUAUUCUUCAUCGUAAUAAUCAUCAAAUUUGGAUAUUAGUAUCAUCUCAUUUUUUUAACUUAUUCAUCUUAUAUAAACUCCAAUGACA